UGGGGAAUAUUGCACAAUGGGCGAAAGCCUGAUGCAGCAACGCCGCGUGAGUGAUGAAGGUCUUCGGAUUGUAAAGCUCUGUCUUUUGGGACGAUAAUGACGGUACCAAAGGAGGAAGCCACGGCUAACUACGUGCCAGCAGCCGCGGUAAUACGUAGGUGGCGAGCGUUGUCCGGAUUUACUGGGCGUAAAGGGUGCGUAGGCGGAUGUUUAAGUGAGAUGUGAAGUACCCGGGCUUAACUUGGGUGCUGCAUUUCAAACUGGAUAUCUAGAGUGCAGGAGAGGAGAAUGGAAUUCCUAGUGUAGCGGUGAAAUGCGUAGAGAUUAGGAAGAACACCAGUGGCGAAGGCGAUUCUCUGGACUGUAACUGACGCUGAGGCACGAAAGCGUGGGUAGCAAACAGGAUUAGAUACCCUGGUAGUCCACGCCGUAAACGAUGAGUACUAGGUGUAGGAGGUAUCGACCCCUUCUGUGCCGCAG
rnacentral:rRNA from 1 species